rnacentral:rRNA from 1 species
UACGUAGGGGCAAGCGUUAUCCGGAUUUACUGGGUGUAAAGGGAGCGCAGACGGCAGUGCAAGUCUGAUGUGAAAGCCCGGGGCUCAACCCCGGAACUGCAUUGGAAACUGUGCAGCUUGAGUGUCGGAGAGGUAAGCGGAAUUCCUAGUGUAGCGGUGAAAUGCGUAGAUAUUAGGAGGAACACCGGUGGCGAAGGCGGCUUACUGGACGAUUACUGACGUUGAGGCUCGAAAGCGUGGGGAGCAAACAGGAUUAGAUACCCUGGUAGU